rnacentral:lncRNA from 1 species
CAGACAACUGCAAGGGGACUAGAGAAUGUUGUUUAGGGUGAGCACUAAGCCCAGUUCCAGGAGCACAGUGAAUAGGAAACAUUCACUCUCCAACUCCCCCACGGACUACAGGCUUCGUACUACUGAGGGAAGCUGCAUUUGGAAGGUGGAAUGCAAAAUGAGUGAAUACUUUAUUACGGAGGAAACAACACUAGAAUUCUGGUUUGGGCUCCAUUUUGAACUAGGCAUAAGCCCAUCUUUUCUUGCCUCUCUGCUAAGCAUAGUUAUAGAAAUAGCACAAGAGAAAACUAAAGAAGUCUAAAAUAUGCUAAGAAGAAUUAAACUGUUUUGAGGCUUGAGAAUGGGAAGAGGAUCACAACAACAGGAUCCCCCUCCUUCAGAUCCUCUACUUUGGAAGA